rnacentral:rRNA from 1 species
AUUGAACGCUGGCGGCAGGCCUAACACAUGCAAGUCGAACGAGUGGCGGACGGGUGAGUAAUGUCUGGGAAACUGCCUGAUGGAGGGGGAUAACUACUGGAAACGGUAGAUAAUACUGCAUACUAUUCGAUGUGCCUAUAUGGGGUUAGCUAGUUGGUGGGGUAACGGCUCACAAAGGCGACGAUCCCUCGCUGGUCUGAGAGGAGGACCGGCCACACAGGAACUGAGACACGGUCCAGACUCCUACGAGAGGCAGCAGUGGGGAAUCUUGCACAAUGGACGCAAGCCUGAUGCAGCCAUACCGCGUGUAUGAAGAAGGCCUUCGGGUUGUAAAGUGCUUUCAGCUGAGAGGCGUUACCCGCAGAAAGAGCACCGGCUAACUCCGUGCCAGCAGCCGCGGUAAUUC